ACGCUCGACACCUACGGGAGGCAGCAGGUGGGAAUAUUGCACAAGUACGGGGGAAACCCGUGAUGCAGCGACCGCCGCGUGGGAAGGAAAGGAAGGUCGUUCGGAUUAGUAAACCUCCUUGUUGGUUAGGGGAAAAAGAGGAGUCGGUAACCCAAACGAAGGAAGUGACGGACUAACUACGUGCCAACAGCCGCGGUAAUCUGGAGCGGGGCUGGCAAGGC
rnacentral:rRNA from 1 species